rnacentral:rRNA from 1 species
UACGUAGGGUGCAAGCGUUGUCCGGAAUUAUUGGGCGUAAAGCGCUCGUAGGCGGUUGAGUAAGUCGGGUGUGAAAACUCUGGGCUUAACCCAGAGCCGCCACCCGAUACUGCUCUGACUUGAGUUCGGUAGGGGAGCAGGGAAUUCCUAGUGUAGCGGUGAAAUGCGCAGAUAUUAGGAGGAACACCGGUGGCGAAGGCGCUGCUCUGGGCCGAUACUGACGCUGAGGAGCGAAAGCGUGGGGAGCAAACAGG